CAAGUGAUCGUUUGUAAGUCGCUCUGGAUAAGAGCGUCUGCUAAAUGAUAUAAA
rfam:Salmo salar isolate Sally breed double haploid chromosome ssa09, whole genome shotgun sequence.